rnacentral:lncRNA from 1 species
UUGAGAAAGAAAGAUAUCAAAUGUACUCCACUAGGAGAAUAUUGAAAUAAAAUAGAAAUUUAUCACUAAACUACUUCUCCUUUUUAUCAUGAAAGGUAAAGGCAAAUUUGGGCAACAUCCAGAAGGAUCAAAGCCCUUUGAGCAUAAAUGUCAAAGCAAACAGCUAAGCCAACCAAAACAACGACCCACAAGCAUGAUAGAUACACCCAAUGUUGGAAAAUAACUGACCUACCCCCUGUUGGUAGCUAGCCACUCUAGAGGAAAUGAUAGGUCUGCCAAUACAUCAACCUCGAACUAGAUCUAUAGCUGUGGGAAUGGAAAAGGGAACCAACUCUUGGUUGGGCAUGGUCCUCAGAGACGUCCAAUAAACACACUAGCUUGAAUCUCGCGGAAUAGAGUUCUACUUCUAUCAACAAAGGUAUGAGUUAAUAAAAACAAAUAAAUAAAAUAUAGUUAUACAUUGGAGGUUGAGGUUUACAUAAGCCAAACUCAGGUUAAUAAGCAUAUAGGGGGAGGUAAACUACUUAUCCAAAAUGACCAUUUUCCCGUCUAUAAUCAUUUGGUUGAAACUGACCUGAGUUCGAGAAAUGGGGCCGGUUGAGAAAAAAUGUUCAACUUAUUGAAGAGCAUUUUCAAAAGCCUCCCGAGCACAGAGAAACUUUCCUAUAAAGACUUAGACAGUUCUUUAGAAAGAGAAGGGGUUUAUUCACGAUUGUUCGUAAGUCUGACCAUGGUCUUCUAAUGAUCAUCUUGAGAUUCCUUUAAAGUCUUAUCCAACUCCCCAGUCCUAUUUUGGGCAGCUUCCAAGGACCGUUUCUCCCCAAUUAGAGCUUUUGUCCUUGUCAACUACUACUUGAACUAGCCGCUGUAGCUUUUUGAGCAAAGAACUAGAAUAUCUUAAAGUUUCAAGGUAAUUUUGAUGGCAAGGAAGAAGUUGGAAACAUCCAGAACCUCCUUUAAUCAUCUAUCCCUCUCAAGGACAACAUCGCCAACCUUAUUCUUCAACUUUUCCCUAUCUCUCUGCAAAAGUGGUCAGGAAGAAAAACUUUCUCAUGGAUGGCAACAGCAAAAGCUAGAACAAGAGAUAAUUGUACCCUACCACCAACGGCCGAGAUCCC